rnacentral:tRNA from 1 species
AAAUUUAGGAUAAUAUC